rnacentral:rRNA from 1 species
AACGAACGCUGGCGGCAUGCCUAACACAUGCAAGUCGAACGAGACCUGCGGGUCUAGUGGCGCACGGGUGCGUAACGCGUGGGAACCUGCCCUUAGGUUCGGAAUAACUCGCCGAAAGGGGUGCUAAUACCGGAUAAUGUCUUCGGACCAAAGAUUUAUCGCCUUUGGAUGGGCCGGCGUUGGAUUAGCUAGUUGGUAGGGUAAAAGCCUACCAAGGCGACGAUCCAUAGCUGGUCUGAGAGGAUGAUCAGCCACACUGGGACUGAGACACGGCCCAGACUCCUACGGGAGGCAGCAGUGGGGAAUAUUGGACAAUGGGCGAAAGCCUGAUGCAGCAAUGACGCGUGAGUGAUGAAGGUCUUAGGGUUGUAAAGCUAUUUUACCCGGGAUGAUAAUGACAGUACCGGGAGAAUAAGCUCCGGCUAACUCCGUG